GAUGAACGCUGGCGGCGUGCCUAAUACAUGCAAGUCGAGCGAACAGACGAGGAGCUUGCUCCUCUGACGUUAGCGGCGGACGGGUGAGUAACACGUGGAUAACCUACCAAUAAGACUGGGAUAACUUCGGGAAACCGGAGCUAAUACCGGAUAAUAUAUUGAACCGCAUGGUUCAAUAGUUAAAGACGGUUUUGCUGUCACUUAUAGAUGGAUCCGCGCCGCAUUAGCUAGUUGGUAAGGUAACGGCUUACCAAGGCGACGAUGCGUAGCUGACCUGAGAGGGUGAUCAGCCACACUGGAACUGAGACACGGUCCAGACUCCUACGGGAGGCAGCAGUAGGGAAUCUUCCGCAAUGGGCGAAAGCCUGACGGAGCAACGCCGCGUGAGUGAUGAAGGUCUUCGGAUCGUAAAACUCUGUUAUUAGGGAAGAACAAAUGUGUAAGUAACUAUGCACGUCUUGACGGUACCUAAUCAGAAAGCCACGGCUAACUACGUG
rnacentral:rRNA from 1 species